GGGUCUCCGUUCCCCGUUUCCACGCCGCUGUCCCCUCUGAGCUGCCCCUCUCCUGCAUUUUCUCGCCUCCUCUCCCCUCUCCUCCUGCCCUCCCGCCUCCAUCUCCCUUCUCCUCGCUCAGUCGCCUUCCUCACCUUCCUUCCCCAGUGGCUCUUUCCUACCCCUCCCACCUUCCUGCCUCCUUCCUCUCUCCCCUCUCUGGAUCUGUCAUUUCUCUCUCCGUCUUGGGAGGCCCCUGCCCAGCGCCGCGUCCUCACCCCGCGGGCUCCUAGGGCUCCUCUCCCGCCCUUGGGACUCUCAGGUUGCCAAGUUCUGAGCUGAUGGCCAAGUCGCCACCCCAGGGAUCCCGGGGCAGGGCUGUCGAGCCGGAGUCCCCCCGAGCUGGAAGCACCUAUGUGACACCCAUUUUUUCUCUCUUUCCUUUCUGCCCCGGACUCUGCACGCUGCCUGGAGGGAUCGAAUCGGGCCCCCGCGCAGGGGAGCGAGGAACUGGCUCAGAGGAAGGAAGCAAGUUGCCUAAAGACGCACAGCACGCGGCGUGGAGCACAUGGGCAGCUGGGAGGACUUCACCCACCGCCGACUCCACCGACGAGGAAACAGGCGCCAGGUGUGCCUGAAGACCGGCAUCCGCCAUAACCGAGACCUUAAGGGAGCCUCGACGGCGUUGCCAGAGGACCGACGGCGCCCCCCGCAGGGCCCUCCCCUCCGCCAAGAUGGCCCACGCUUGGCAGCGAGAGGUCCCAGGAUCGAUCACCGGAGAGGCUCUCUCGGACUGCGGUCGUCCAUCGCCACCUACCGGCGGAAGACAAAACUGCAACGCAGCUCUAAAAGACACUAGGAAUGGCGGCCCCAAAGGAAGACAGUGCCUGGGGGCGAGGCGGGGGCUGGAGCGGGCGGAGAGGACAGGAUUUGCAAAAUUCUGUAAAAAUUAAAAACUUUUCUACGCCUAACCAAUAUAUAAACAUCAUACUCAGCAAGCUUCUUGGUAUGCCAGCUUAGAGCUCCAACUGCAUGCGUGUUUUCUUCAUGGGUGGGUGGGUACUCUCCUGCGUGGUCAUGGAGACGCACGUGUCAGUGCUUUCGGAAACGCAGGGGAGUGGGAUUCAGUUUACACAAUGUGCUGGGAAGCCUAUUUCUAGGAAUUGAGCCAAUUGAGUUUCAUUCCUCUACCAUGACCUCGCUGAACGCAAGGUGGGUGCAAGCAAAGGUGAACGGCUGACAGACAGCCAAACAUUGGUCCCUGGUCCUCACCUGGGGUCUCUCUGACUGGCUAAAGAAAGAAGCCUCUAGAGUUGUUUCCAGAAGCCACCUGAUUCAAUGCACAACUUGGGGUGGCAAACAUUCUUUAAAAAUAUUAAAAUCAAC
rnacentral:lncRNA from 1 species